CAAAUACUCAGAGGUCAGAGAGGACACUGACUUCGCACGGACUACAAAGAGACACAAACCGACCACAAAGAGAUACAAAACGACUACAAAGACACAAAACGACUACAAAGAGACACAAAACGACUACAAAGAGACAAAACGACUACAAAGAGACACAAAACAACUACAAAGACACAAAACGACUACAAAGAGACACAAAACGACUACAAAGAGACAAAACGACUACUAAGAGACAAAACGAUUACAAAGAGACACAAACUGACUACAAAGAGACAAAACGACUACAAAGACGAUUUAAAUACUUUUUAAAAAUCUUUAACUCUUCAUUUAUGGAUUUGUUAAAUAU
rnacentral:lncRNA from 1 species